rnacentral:lncRNA from 1 species
GCUUGGAUCUUCACCAUCUUGGUGCUUCUUGAGUGGACUUUGCCAUCCUUGCAACGCCCUCAAGUGCACUUGCUGAGGCGAGCGGUGUUUGAUUUACUGUAAGUAUGAUGGACAUCAGCUUGGAAGCCUUUAUGUGGUUUGUGAAAUCACCAUUAGUUGCAAAAGGAAUUUGGAUCUUCUUCCAAGACCACAAGAGAAGGGAAAUUCCACACAGCUGAGAAGUGAGUUCCCUUAGAUUUCUGGUGCCA